UACGGAGGGUGCAAGCGUUAUCCGGAUUCACUGGGUUUAAAGGGUGCGUAGGUGGGUCUGUAAGUCAGUGGUGAAAUCUCCAAGCUUAACUUGGAAACUGCCGUUGAUACUAUAGACCUUGAAUGCUGUGGAGGUGAGCGGAAUAUGUCAUGUAGCGGUGAAAUGCUUAGAUAUGACAUAGAACACCAAUUGCGAAGGCAGCUCACUGGCCAGAUAUUGACACUGAGGCACGAAAGCGUGGGGAUCAAACAGG
rnacentral:rRNA from 1 species